UCAAGAUACUUAAAUCAAUUCUUCUUAGUUGCAUCGGUCAAUAAGGUAAUUCGUGAAGUUUAUUAUUUUCUCUCUUAAAACCAAUAGAAUAGCAUCAAAGAAAUCCUAAAAACGAAACAAUUCCGCCCUUAACAAUCAAGGGAAUUCUGGUUGUACAUUGCUUUGAUACUUCUCCUUCCAAACAAAGCCUUAGCAGAAGCUCUAGGUUUAAAGUCUUUCUUCAGUUCCAAGCCCUAGCAGAUCUAUGGGGAAUUCGAACAUCUCAGAAGCUUCGGUUGUUGAUGAGGUCUGGAAAUGAGCUUCCAAAAAUCCAAUUUAACAUGCAGCUGAUCAAUUCCUUGAAGCAACUUGUUCACUGAAUGCUUAUUUACUGGAGAAAUUUGAAAGAUAGGUUACAAUGAUUUUUAGCUUGCUCUUAAAUGGUUGAUAUGAAAGUUAUAUGGUCAAUAAUUGAUAUAAUGGAGGUUGAGGAUUGGACCAGUUCUUCAGGAGAAACAAGUGAUUCAAAGUGAUUUGAGGUCUGUGAACAGAGUGAUUCAGAUACAGAGCUCAAAAGAACAAAUUUAGCACUAUUGGUCCAAUCCAGAGUUUCGUCAGGUGUCGCCACUAUCAAAGUUUUCAAUAACAAAUGUAGAGAGAGGAAGAGUGGAGUAAUUUGUAGAGUGAAGUUGAAUUGUUCCGAAAUGUAGUGAGAGAAAACAGAUGAAGAAAUCUAGAGAUAGAGUUUGAAAUUGGAGAGGUGAUAUUGAAAACGACUUCACGCUUGAAUUGAAAACUUUUUUACAAUGAAAGAGAACUCUUUUACAAUGAAAGAGAAUUACGUGUUUUGAAUUGCUGUAAUUGUGAUUCUGUCAUGGGAUUGUAAAUAUUUGGUUUCAAUGUAAUUGCCAUGUUUUUACUUCAAAUUGUGGUUUCAGUUUAAUUUUUAUUAAAA